GAUGAAGAACGUAGCGAAAUGCGAUAAGUAGUGUGAAUUGCAGAAUUCAGUGAAUCAUCGAAUCUUUGAACGCACAUUGCGCCCGCCAGUAUUCUGGCGGGCAUGCCUGUUCGAGCGUCAUUUCAACCAUCAAGCCCCUGGCUUGUGUUGGGGACCUGCGGCUGCCGCAGGCCCUGAAAACCAGUGGCGGGCUCGCUGUCACACCGGGCGUAGUAGAUUAUAUCUCGCUCAGGGCGUGCUGCGGGUUCCGGCCGUUAAAAAGCCUUAUUUACCCAAGGUUGACCUCGGAUCAGGUAGGAAUACCCGCUGAACUUAAGCAUAUCAAUAAGCGGAGGA
rnacentral:misc_RNA from 1 species